ACUCAAAUGAAUUGACGGGGGCCCGCACAAGCGGUGGAGCAUGUGGUUUAAUUCGACGCAACGCGAAGAACCUUACCAGGCCUUGACAUGUCUGUCGUAGGCUCCAGAGAUGGAGCCGUCAGUUCGGCUGGACAGAACACAGGUGCUGCAUGGCUGUCGUCAGCUCGUGUCGUGAGAUGUUGGGUUAAGUCCCGCAACGAGCGCAACCCUCCUCGUCAGUUGCCAUCAGGUUAUGCUGGGCACUCUGGCGAUACUGCCGGUGACAAGCCGGAGGAAGGCGGGGAUGACGUCAAGUCCUCAUGGCCCUUACGGCCUGGGCUACACACGUGCUACAAUGGCGGUGACAGUGGGACGCAAUAUAGCAAUAUGGAGCCAAUCCCAAAAAGCCGUCUCAGUUCGGAUUGUACUCUGCAACUCGAGUACAUGAAGUUGGAAUCGCUAGUAAUCGUGGAUCAGAACGCCACGGUGAAUACGUUCCCGGGCCUUGUACACACCGCCCGU
rnacentral:rRNA from 1 species